rnacentral:sRNA from 1 species
CUUUUACCUUUAGCAUUCUACUGAAGCUCAAUGUUUUCUCUGAGAGUCCCCUGUUACUCGACCAAACCAUUAGAGGGACCAUUUUUGUCUCUUAGCCUAAGCCCGAAACCAAGUGAGUUCAUAACCAUUGAAUUGCUUGAUCCACUGUUUGUGCUUAAUGAAUGUUAAAGGGAAUUGGUUGAUGUGAAUGCUUGAAUAGAUUAAGGCAAGUUGUUAGGUUGCAAUUGUGACGAGUAUGGCUAACUUUUUUGAGUAAGGGUCUAUCAUCUUGCAAUCAGAAUUAGCUACCUGGACAUUGAGCUUACCCAUUUUAUAGGCAUGCUUCGGUUUUUGAAUCCCCACCUUCAAACCUCUCCUUCAACUUAAGAUUUUUUGUUUGCUUGAGGGCACGCAAGAGAUAAGUUUGGGAGAGUUGAU